GAGACUGGAUGUCUGGCCCAGCCCCCUCAGGAGGGCACAGCCUCAAGGAGGAGGGUGGCCCUGGGGGCCCAGAGCAGAGCUGCAGAAUCUGUGUGCAAGUGUGUGGCUGGUGGACGGCCACCCUUGGUGUCCCGUCGGUGAUAUCCGGACAGCAAACCAAGAUGUCAGAGAAUGAUGUGAUGUCAUAUGAUCUAUAACACAGAAUCCAAAAGAAGUUCAAGCUCUUAGAAAAAGAGGAAGCACCUGGAAGCCUGGGUGUUCCCAGCCCACUUCAUCAUUACACCCGGACAGAGGGAGCCCGGGGGUUCUCUCAGGGAAAAUCCUCCUCAGUCCAUGCCUGGCCAACACUGCAGCUUCCCGGGCUGAUUCUGGUGUUUAAGUUGAAAGAUUCCUUCUUCCCUCAUAGCCACUGCAAUGGUCUGGAGCCAGCUCAGGCCCUGGGGCGGCCAGCUGCAGCCUGGGGAGUGGAGGGACAGUGGGCUUUAGACUCACAGCCCAGCUUGGCUGUCCCUGCUGGCCACCGCUGGGCGGUCACAUCACCAACCUGGUCUCUGUUUCUUUAGCGACAGCCCAGCACCAGCACCCUCCAGUUGGUGCGAGGUGCACAUGAGGUGGCUUCCAAGAAGGCCCCAGUGCAGGAAGGCCCGUGACCCAUGCUGGCCUCCAUCUACUCCCCAUGUCCUGUGCAGACGGAAUGCUCAUUGGCCUGUGGGGGAGGGGGUGUUGAGUUUUUUUUUUUUUAAACAAAGCUUGAUUGGUUUAGGGAGAAAUAGGAGAAACCACCUGCUAUGCAGUUAAAAACAAAACAAAACUCAGAUUAAAUCAAUAUUUGAUUCA